ACUCCUACGGGAGGCAGCAGUGGGGAAUAUUGCACAAUGGGGGAAACCCUGAUGCAGCCAUGCCGCGUGUGUGAAGAAGGCCUUGGGUUGUAAAGCACUUUCAGUAGGGAGGAAGGUAGUGUAGUUAACACCUGCAUUAUUUGUACGUUACCUACAGAAGAAGCACCGGCUAACUCCGUGCCAGCAGCCGCGGUAAUACGGAGGGUGCGAGCGUUAAUCGGAAUUACUGGGCGUAAAGCGCAUGCAGGCGGCCUGUUAAGUCAGAUGUGAAAGCCCGGGGGCUUAACCUCGGAAUUGCAUUUGAAACUGGCAGGCUAGAGUCUUGUAGAGGGGGUAGAAUUUCAGGUGUAGCGGUGAAAUGCGUAGAGAUCUGAA
rnacentral:rRNA from 1 species